UGGCGGACAAGGCGGCAAAAGGUAUAUGGAGCUGAAGUUGUGGAAUCAUCCCUUGGAGGCUGAAAUAUGUUGAGAUCAACCUGACCAAGUUAACCACCACAACGUACUUAUACAUAUAGCAUAGCUGCGCAUCAAAUGAUCAACAUUUAGUGGAAUCGUCCCUGGGAGGCUGAAAUAUGUUGAGAUCAACCUGACCAACCACCACAACGUACUUAUACAUAUAGCAUAGCUGCGCAUCAAAUGAUCAACAUUUAGGAUGCCUAAGAAAGGUCAACCUGAUAGCUACUGGGAGGGUGUGAUGAAGCAGUAUGCUGCUGGUAAAUUUAAAUUUUCCACUGGCAAGAAGCCUGGUAGCCGUAAAUGGAAAGACACCAUCAGAAAGAUUGAUGAAUGUCCACGUCACCUUAUGAUGCAGACAGUGGAUCUGUUAGGACGGCGGAUUUUAUGUAAAUGUGGUUACCAUAAGAAAAAUGUUGCAGAAGACCUACAUUUCUUGGAGAAAAGGUAUUGGAUUCUGCAUCAAUUCACGUAUCCGAACCAACUAGUCAAACUGUGUCAGGAAGCAACACAUCAUCAUCGACACUUCUAGAUCUUCCUGCAACAUCAUCAUCAACACUUCUAGAUCUUCCUGCAACAUCAUCAUCGACACUUCUAGAUCUUCCUGCAACAUCAUCAUUGACACUUCUAGAUCUUCCUGUCACAUCAUCAUCGACACUUCUAGAUCUUCCUGCAACAUCAUCAUUGACACUUCUAGAUCUUCCGGAAACAUCAUCAUCGACACCUCUAGAUCUUCCGGAAACAUCAUCACAACCCGUUGAUGAAUCCAUUGAGUGUGGACUCUGCAAGGCAACUGUUGCUAUUUUGGAUUUUGAGGAACAUCUUCUUCAAAAGCAUGUG